GCUGUAACUGUCAGCUAAGUGGCGCACGGGUGAGUAAUAUAUAGUUAAUCUGCCCCAAAGAAGAGAAUAAUUGUUGGAAACGACUUGUAAUGCUCUAUAUGCCUUUAUUACAUAAGUAAGCAAGGGAAACAUUUAUGGCUUUGGGAUGAGACUGUACGGUAUCAGCUAGUUGGUGAGGUAAUGGCUCACCAAGGCAAUGACAUCUAACUGGUUUGAGAGGAUGAUCAGUCACACUGGAACUGAGACACGGUCCAGACUCCUACGGGAGGCAGCAGUGGGGAAUAUUGCACAAUGGAGGAAACUCUGAUGCAGCAACGCCGCGUGGAGGAUGACACAUUUCGGUGCGUAAACUCCUUUUAUUAGGGAAGAUAAUGACGGUACCUAAUGAAUAAGCACCGGCUAACUCCGUGCCAGCAGCCGCGGUAAUACGGGGGGUGCAAGCGUUACUCGGAAUCACUGGGCGUAAAGAGAAUGUAGGCUGGUUAUUAAGUUGGAAGUGAAAUCCUAUGGCUCAACCAUAGAACUGCUUCCAAAACUGAUUACCUAGAAUAUGGGAGAGGUAGAUGGAAUUUCUG
rnacentral:rRNA from 1 species